UACGUAGGGGGCAAGCGUUGUCCGGAAUCAUUGGGCGUAAAGCGCGCGUAGGCGGCCUGGUAAGUCCGCUGUAAAAGUCAAAGGCUCAACCUUUGAAAGCCGGUGGAUACUGCGGGGCUAGAGUACGGAAGAGGCGAGUGGAAUUCCUGGUGUAGCGGUGGAAUGCGCAGAUAUCAGGAGGAACACCAAUAGCGAAGGCAGCUCGCUGGGACGUUACUGACACUGAGGCGCGAAAGCGUGGGGAGCGAACAGG
rnacentral:rRNA from 1 species